rnacentral:rRNA from 1 species
GCGAGUCGAGAGACUUCGGGUCUCGGCAGACGUCUCAGUAACACGCGGAUAAUCUGCCCUUGAGUGGGGGAUAAGCUCGGAAACCUGAGUAUAAUACCCCAUAGGCCUAGGAUGCUGGAAUGCUUCUAGGCUGAAAGCUCCGGCGCUCAAGGAUGAGUCUGUGGCCUAUCAGGCUGUAGUGGGUGUAACGGACCCACUAACCUUCGACGGGUACGGGCCUUGAGAGAGGUUGCCCGGAGUUGGACUCUGAGACAUGAGUCCAGGCCCUACGGGGUGCAGCAGGCGCGAAAACUUCACAAUGUGGGAAACCACGAUGAGGGGAUUCCAAGUGCCAACACAAUGUGUUGGCUGUUCAUCUGCCUAAAAAGCUGGUGAAGUAAGGGCCGGGUAAGACGGGUGCCAGCCGCCGCGGUAAUACCCGCGGCCCGAGUGGUGGCCGUUGUUAUUGAGCCUAAAGCGUCCGUAGCCGGUUUCGUAAAUUUCUGGGUAAAUCGGGCAGCUUAACUGUCCGAAUUCCGGAAAGACUGCGAAACUUGGGACCGGGGGAGGUUGGAGGUACUCCUGGGGUAGGGGUGAAAUCCUGUAAUCCUGGGGGGACCACCAGUGGCGAAGGCGUCCAACCAAAACGGCUCCGACGGUAAGGGACGAAGCCCUGGGGCGCAAACGGGAUUAGAUACCCCGGUAGUCCAGGGUGUAAACGCUGCAGGCUUGGUGUUGGGGGUCCUACGAGGGCGCCCAGUGCCG